rnacentral:rRNA from 1 species
GAAUUACUGGGCGUAAAGCGCACGCAGGCGGUUGGAUAAGUUAGAUGUGAAAGCCCCGGGCUCAACCUGGGAAUUGCAUUUAAAACUGUCCAGCUAGAGUCUUGUAGAGGGGGGUAGAAUUCCAGGUGUAGCGGUGAAAUGCGUAGAGAUCUGGAGGAAUACCGGUGGCGAAGGCGGCCCCCUGGACAAAGACUGACGCUCAGGUGCGAAAGCGUGGGGAGCAAACAGGAUUAGAUACCCUGGUAGUCCACGCCGUAAACGAUGUCGAUUUGGAGGCUGUGUCCUUGAGACGUGGCUUCCGGAGCUAACGCGUUAAAUCGACCGCCUGG